AAACAAAUAUCUAAUAUUUCCUUUACUCAGUUGCACAGUCCUUUCCUUGCAAGUUCUUUCACCAACACGGAAAAUGCUCUAAAGGAGAAGAUUGCCGGUUUUCCCACGAGCCACUUAAUGACGCCUCAAAAAAGCUGCUACAUGACGCUUUAAAACGUGAUGAUGAACUCAAUGCACUUGCAAAGAAAGCUGAGCAGGAGUCGUCCGGACAGCCAGAGAACAAAGAUGAGUCAGAAAUGUCGGAACCAAUCAGGACUUCUAAUGAACUUGUGCACCCACUCAGGCCUAACUUUUACAACAGCGGAGAAACCAAUGCUGAGAAGGAAAGCGUGUUCUGUGAGACUCGAGAGCUGGCUGAUGACCACGAGGAAGCUUCCCCGGCACAUGCAGCUGAUGUUGCCCAACCUCACAUCCUGCCGUCAAGUGACCUUCAACACGAGGAGCCAGUUUGUUAUUCAGUUGCAGCAGUCCUUGGACCGCAACUUUUCAAACCGUUCCCUAGUUUCUUUACAUCUCAAAGAAGUGAAGAAUCUGGCAGUUCAGUCCUUUCAAACCAAAUCCAAGUUCCAUACUCAGUGGAUGCUGUUCUCAGGUCUAAUUCAGUGGAAAACUCCACCUUUAGACACACACCUACCCUUUAUGCUGCAAAAACUGUAUCCUAUACCCCAAAAGCUGACUCUGCAGAGAUCCCUGUUCCUAUACCAAGCUCAGAAACCCAAGAGGAGACUGUCUUGCAUUCAAUAAAUCCCAGAAAGGACGUUAAUAAUUCCCAGGGGAAGGAAUUCACGGGCCUGUCAUCGCUCAAUGUAGACACUAGUCUGCUUUCAAAGAACAUCCCAAGUCUACCUCUGGCCUCCACACACAACAAGACACAAGGUAGCAAUGUGCCACACUCCAUGAAAGCUGCCCGAAGAGUGGCUGAUGAAGUCAAGUUGGAGUUGCUGCAUUCUACUGUGAACGUAGCAGAUGAGUCUACUACAGCCUGCAAAAGUGAAGAGUUGAGGCCUGUUGUGACAUUUGACCCACAAGCCCCAAGAAAGCAUUUUUCCCCUUCGGGUUUCCCAGACUUUAAAUGUAGAGCUGCUGCUCCUGUGGAACUUGUCACCAGCUCCGUUAAGACAAGUCAUUCUGCAAACACUGGCAGUCAUCAUUUUGUAGAAAAACAACCCACUGAGAUCCGCCUGUACUCUAAAAAGCCACAAGCCGUCCUCAGCCAUGACGCACAACGACCUUGUCCAUCUGAGAUCAGAGCAGAGGGCCGUAGUGAGACGGCACAUCGCGGUGCUCUUGCAGUUGAAUACUUUAUUCAGUCUUCCUGUCCUGCUCUACAGCCUGCAGGUUCCAGAAGUAAAGGUGUUAAAGCUCCUGCCAGCUCCUUCCUCAGGCUUUUUGCUGCUCCUCUCAGUGAUGCCCCUCAGCCAGAUCUUUCAAGGACUUCCUCCUCCUCUCAACAGUCAAACCAGUUAGUUGAUAAUACAUCUCAUUUCUCAGACUCCAAACCAAGGGCCUCUAAUUUAAAGACAACUCUCCAACACCAGAUUAGAUCUGUCAAAGAAAUCUCUGGUGCAACAAGAUCUUCCUGUUUGUCUUCUGAUGCUAAAACAAAAAGUGCAGACUGUUCAACGGAGAACACGAAUGGCCCUUUGAAGCGGCAGCUUAAUCCUGUCUGUAUCCUUGAAUCUCUCGGGGAGAUAUCUACCAGUCCAACCAGAACCCAUUCUCCGCAGCAGCCGCGUGACGCUGCAUCCCGCAAAGGUAUGGGAAUAAUCAACGCAUACCAAAUGUACCGGGAAAUCCUGACUUAUGUUGUUAAUGCCUCACUUCGCAGACACUGCCGGCUCAGUUCUGAAGAGUCUCUUCCUGACUCUGAACCCCUACCAAUAGUAUCAAGAGCUACAGGACAGUAUUCGGAUGAGGGCCGCUUCAGGUAA
ensembl:lncRNA